rnacentral:rRNA from 1 species
CGCGUAGGCGGUUCAUUAAGUUGGAUGUGAAAACUCUGGGCUUAACCCAGAGCCUGCAUUCAAAACUGAUGGGCUGGAGUUCUGGAGGGGAUAGCGGAAUUCCUGGUGUAGCGGUGAAAUGCGUAGAUAUCGGGAGGAACACCGGUGGCGAAGGCGGCUAUCUGGACAGAAACUGACGCUGAGGCGCGAAAGCUAGGGGAGCAAACA